AAUCCAUAGGUUAAUGAGGCGAACCGGGGGAACUGAAACAUCUAAGUACCCCGAGGAAAAGAAAUCAACCGAGAUUCCCCCAGUAGCGGCGAGCGAACGGGGAGGAGCCCAGAGCCUGAAUCAGCAUGUGUGUUAGUGGAAGCGUCUGGAAAGGCGCGCGAUACAGGGUGACAGCCCCGUACACAAAAGCGCAUGUGUUGUGAGCUCGAUGAGUAGGGCGGGACACGUGGUAUCCUGUCUGAAUAUGGGGGGACCAUCCUCCAAGGCUAAAUACUCCUGACUGACCGAUAGUGAACCAGUACCGUGAGGGAAAGGCGAAAAGAACCCCGGCGAGGGGAGUGAAAAAGAACCUGAAACCGUGUACGUACAAGCAGUGGGAGCACAGGUUUACCUGUGUGACUGCGUACCUUUUGUAUAAUGGGUCAGCGACUUAUAUUCUGUAGCA
rnacentral:rRNA from 1 species